UUCUCUUAAAACCUCUUGUGAAAUCUAAGGAAAUCGACGGUUGUAUGUUUUCUUGUAAAAUCUGAGAAAUCUAGAGGUUUUCUUCUUCAACUGCUGGAGGUUCUCUUCUUCAAUCUUUGAGGUUAUAGCUGAAGAAACUACAAGUUUAGGCUUUUGAGGUUCCUGAAAUGGAAGCUGAACACUAUCCUUCCAAGGAAGAUGUGAUUUUACAGAAUGAGUCUCAAACAUAUUUUUACAUAAUAGUCUCAGGAGCAUUGGUAAGUUAAUAUGUUGGGAACAAUUACUUGAAGUUAAUAUGUGUACUAUUGCAGAAUCUUCUAGUAGAUAUCGAUGGACGUGAACAAAUCAUUGGGAAGGCUGUUGCUCGAGAAUAAUUUGGAGAAAUAGGUGUUUUACUUGGAAGGCCA